CUCGAGGCAGGCGGUGGUGGCCGGGGUGCAAUCCCCGCUCCGGCCAGGCUCUUCUCCUCCCUCCUGGGCGGGGAGAGUGGUCAGGAGAUAAAAGGGGGACCAGGGCCAGCUGGAAGCUGCUGAAAGCUGCUGGGGCCCGGAGCGAGGGAGGACGGCAGCGAGGAGAAGCGCGGUAUCGAGGGCUCGUUCUCGCGGGCCGGGGUCCAGGAUGGGGCUGCUGGUGCUGGCCCUGGCCACCUGGCUGGGGUUUGGGCUGGCCUCGGCCUCCGAGGAGACGGCCAACAGCAGCCGGAUCUGCCAGGAGGCGCCGGCAUGGACCAUCAAUGGCUCGAGCCCCAUGGAGGGGGCGGCAGGGCAGGUGACGGUGGUGGCCCUGCUGAAGGCCAGCUGACAGUUCUGCCUGAGGCAGGCCCACAGGUGAGCCCCGCUCCCCCUCCCCACAGCNNNNNNNNNNNNNNNNNNNNGGGGCCUGCGGGAGCGGCUGGCCCGGCAGGGCACGGCCCAUGUCCGCUACAUGAUCGUCAACGAGAAGGCGCCGCUGUCCCGCGCCAUGCUGCCGGAGCUGCAGCGCCACGCCCCGCCCGGCGUCCCCGUCCUCCAGCCCGAGCAGGAGGACCCUGACGUCUGGCAGGUCCUGGGGGGUGACAAGGACGACUUCCUUGUUUAUGACCGGUGUGGCCGCCUGGCUUUCCACAUCCAGUUGCCCUUCAGCUUCCUCCACUUCCCCUAUGUGGAAGCAGCCAUCCGCUCCAGCCACAUCAAGGACUUCUGUGGCAACUGCUCCCUCUACCCCAAUGCUACCCAGGAGGCUAACAGCACCAUGGAGGGCCCUGCAACCCCGAGCUCCCUUCCUGAACAUGAGGGGAUGGAGUCAGAGACUCCCGUCCACCAGCACAAGCCCCUCCAUCCUCACCACCAUCACGAGGUCAACAGUGAGAGAGACACAAACCCAAGUGAGGACCACAAACCUGCUACCCAUGCUCACCACCACCAUGGAGACCAUGGCCAGCUCCAUCACAAGGGGAAGAAGCAGAAGGAGGGGGAUGAGCACUAAACUAGGCUGGGCAGCCUUGCAGAACCCAGUAGUGUGCAGACAACCCCAACUCCCUUCACAGAGGCAUGGAAGGACUUGUUUUGGGCUGCUGGCCACCAGCAGCGCUGGUUUAAUAACUCCCUCCAGCAAACCCAUGUGGGUUGCCCUCCUACGCUGUGAUAAGGAUGGGAAUUCCCCUUGGACUCUGCUCAGUGCUGCAUUUUCAGCCCCAGAGCUCAGUUCUGAGCCUUCACCUGCCACUGCCUGCUUUUCUGUGCUCAAUGAAGCCUGCUGUGCAAACCAGGAGGUCCCUGGUCACUGCUGGCUGACACUGCACAGAGCGGCAGGGCGGGGUGGAGGGGCCAGAGCUGGGAUGGGAGCAGCACUGCUGUCAUCCUCUGCCCAUCCAGACAUUCCUGGGUGUGCUGGAAUCCCUGGGUUUCCUGGCCAGGAAACGAGGGGAGGGACAGCGUGUGCCCCGCAGGACAUGGUCCCAGGGGACUGAGGGCACGAGGAGCGGUGGGAUGUCGCAGCUCCCCACGGUCCAAAGCCUGUCCCCCCCGGGCUGUGCCGUCCUGGGCGCCCCGCAGACCGUGCGCACGGGUAUGUGCAGUGGUGCUGGGUGGCCGCAAGAUGGUGGCCUUGUCCCCUCCUGGAGACCAGGGGCUGGAUCCAAUGGGCGCAGCUCGGGGAGGACAGGGUGAGGAUCAUGAGGUCUUUGCUGGGGGUAAGCGAGGUGGGAGGGCAGCGUGGGUAUCCGGAGUGCGAAUAAAACCUCUGUGAAGUGACCGCCUCUCA
ensembl:lncRNA